AUUGAACGCUGGCGGCAGGCCUAACACAUGCAAGUCGAGCGGAUGAAGGGAGCUUGCUCCUGUAUUCAGCGGCGGACGGGUGAGUAAUGCCUAGGAAUCUGCCUGGUAGUGGGGGAUAACGUCCGGAAACGGGCGCUAAUACCGCAUACGUCCUGAGGGAGAAAGUGAGGGAUCUUCGGACCUCACGCUACCAGAUGAGCCUAGGUCGGAUUAGCUAGUUGGUUGGGUAAAGGCCUACCAAGGCGACGAUCCGUAACUGGUCUGAGAGGAUGAUCAGUCACACUGGAACUGAGACACGGUCCAGACUCCUACGGGAGGCAGCAGUAGGGAAUAUUGGACAAUGGGCGAAAGCCUGAUCCAGCCAUGCCGCGUGUGUGAAGAAGGUCUUCGGAUUGUAAAGCACUUUAAGUUGGGAGGAAGGGCAGUAAGUUAAUACCUUGCUGUUUUGACGUUACCAACAGAAUAAGCACCGGCUAACUUCGUG
rnacentral:rRNA from 1 species